rnacentral:rRNA from 1 species
UACGGGUGGGAGCAAGCGUUGUUCGGAUUUACUGGGCGUAAAGGGCGCGUAGGCGGUCGUGACAAGUCACUUGUGAAAUCUCCGGGCUUAACUCGGAACGGUCAAGUGAUACUGUCGUGCUAGAGUACAGGAAGGGCAACUGGAAUUCUCGGUGUAGCGGUGAAAUGCGUAGAUAUCGAGAGGAACACCUGCGGCGAAGGCGGGUUGCUGGGCUGAUACUGACGCUGAGGCGCGAAAGCCAGGGGAGCGAACGGG